AUGGCGACCGGCGCACGGGUGAGUAACACGUAUCCAACCUGCCGUCUACUCUUGGACAGCCUUCUGAAAGGAAGAUUAAUACAAGAUGGCAUCAUGAGUCCGCAUGUUCACAUGAUUAAAGGUAUUCCGGUAGACGAUGGGGAUGCGUUCCAUUAGAUAGUAGGCGGGGUAACGGCCCACCUAGUCUUCGAUGGAUAGGGGUUCUGAGAGGAAGGUCCCCCACAUUGGAACUGAGACACGGUCCAAACUCCUACGGGAGGCAGCAGUGAGGAAUAUUGGUCAAUGGGCGAGAGCCUGAACCAGCCAAGUAGCGUGAAGGAUGACUGCCCUAUGGGUUGUAAACUUCUUUUAUAAAGGAAUAAAGUCGGGUAUGGAUACCCGUUUGCAUGUACUUUAUGAAUAAGGAUCGGCUAACUCCGUGCCAGCAGCCGCGGUAAUACGGAGGAUCCGAGCGUUAUCCGGAUUUAUUGGGUUUAAAGGGAGCGUAGAUGGAUGUUUAAGUCAGUUGUGAAAGUUUGCGGCUCAACCGUAAAAUUGCAGUUGAUACUGGAUAUCUUGUGUGCAGUUGAGGCAGGCGGAAUUCGUGGUGUAGCGGUGAAAUGCUUAGAUAUCACGAAGAACUCCGAUUGCGAAGGCAG
rnacentral:rRNA from 1 species